CAACUUUAUAUUUUACAAACAUUUUAUAUGUCAGGGUUGUCAGAUAAAAAAAAUCCAUGAAAAACUAACUUUAGCCUCAAAGCCAUGCUGUGAGUUUGUCAAAACAUGCACAGUAACAACUAAAGAAGAGUUUUUUGGGGGACAUUUCACUGUAUUUUGUACCGGAAAGUUCCAUUCAGAUUGUCUUUAUGUUGAAAUUGUUGUCGUUUUUGCUCAUAAUUGGUUUUUUGGUGGAAACAACAUUUUCACCACAUACACACAGGCUGUGGGCUGGUUCUGGCCCACACGUCUUAUGUUUUACACCCCUGCAGUAGUUUAUCAACUGUGGACCAAAAUUCAAGUAUGUAAUCAGUAAGUAUGAAUCUUCAGGUGUCUGUUUCAUCUAAUUUAAAGGCAUUUUUGAAUAUGUAAGACAUGAAAUACUCAUGAUUUUUAGUCAGCUUUUCAUUGAGUGUAAGUGGUGUGUAAUCACACAUUUGAAGGACUCUUAAAGUUAAAAGUGACUUGAAAGGUUAAAAUUUUAAAUAAUUUCCUUACAAAAGGUUUAGUUGCACCAAUAUGAUAACAAAACACUCCCUUCAUCUUAAACCCAUAUUAGAAAUGACAGGAGCAUAUGUUCUCUUUUACAUUUGGUUUUUGUCACAAUAUGUAGAUGUUUUCUCAGGUAAAUACGUCAGUCUGGAUGUUUAAAGGUUAUUCAAUACUCUGUAAUGUUUUUAUAUGUCCUAUCAGCAGAAGGUUUUCAAGGAGUUCUUAAAAUCAGUACUUUAUAAAGGAAUUCAUAUUUUUUUUCUCUAAAAUUUCUUCAGAUUACAGUGAAUAACAGGGAAAUGUGUAUUUUUCAAGAAGCUCUGUUUGCGCUUGGUUGGAGUAUAAACCUUCUGACUGUUUAGAUGUGAUACAAGUUGUGUUUUGAAUGUGCUUCAUGUGGAAGCCUCACUUUUUUAUACUGAGACUGAGCUUUAUUUAUCCACCAGGUCUCAUUUUAUAACUAACAGGAAGAUGACCCACAUAAUGCCAUGCAAAACAAUAAACGCGUUGAUACUUUAAAGGAAGUGUGCAGCUACAUGUGCGUGAUUUCACCUUUAAUCCCUUAUGUGACACUCCCUGAAAUAUAUACACAGUACUUCAUAGUGCAAGAUUUUUACUUCUGGCUUUCUCAAAAUAACAAAUUAAAAACAUUUUGAGCCGUUUAUUGAAAUGAAAUCAAUGGUAAAAGGGUUAAACUGCUCAAAACCAUAAAUAUUAUAGCAUGGUUGUCAGUGCUGUUUAGUUCAUGGGCUGCAAACUGUUUGAUAUGAAGUGGGGCAGAUCAAUGAAAAGACAGAGUAAUGAUCUGUACAUAAGUAAAGCAUCAAGUGUUUCGUCUUAGUUUUUCCACAAUAACAUACAAUGAAUUCAGUGUUUUUCCAAAAAACAAACAAACAAAAAAAAAACAAACAGAUUGGACUUUACAAAGAAAAAUAAGUGUUAUUAUGCCUUUUUUAAUCUCUGAACUCAAAUUGUAUAUCUGUAGUGCUUUACAGUACAAAGUACAUGCUAGCAAUAAAAGCAAGAGGGAUAAACAAUGUGUAAUAUGUAAAGGCUGCCAAAAAAAGUUGAAAGCAUAAAGAGAAUUUUCCAUAAAACAGUUUAAACAUUACGCUCUGGUGCAAAAUAAAGUGAACCAUUUCCUUUAUUUGUAGUUUUUUGUUCUUUUCAAAUGUUGUUGCAACAAAAGAGGCAACAAGUUUUUUCACAUUGUUCUUUUUCAGCUUUCCAAGUGUUCAAAAAUACCUGAUAUCCUCCAAAAAAUAUGGAUUCUUCAGCCAUCUGCAUGCAUGUAUUCUCAACUUCAUCCGAGCUAAUGUGAACUUCAAGUUAUGCUAUUCCAUUCAGAGCUAGCAUUUCUGUGUGCGGCUCUUAUCAAAACUGCAGACUCAGCAAACAAACCAGGAACAAUAAUUAACUCAAUCUAGUGUCUGUUUUCACACUUUAAAGUCAUCAAGCGGCCCGGAUUGGACCCUAUCAGCGGGCCAGUUUUGGUCCCCGAGCCUUAUGUUUGACACAUAUGAUAGACAUCUUAAAAAAAAUUAGUCAAAAUGUCUUUAAAUUUUUAAAACUUUUGGUUUUUACAUCACACACAGAUGUGAUUUAAAACUUUUGAUCCAAUAUGGUGCAAAAGUUCUUUCAUAUUUUAUCAGAUUUUUUAAACAAUAAGCUAUCAGGAGAAUUUAUGGACAAACUCAGAGAGUAAGAGGUUUCUUUUUUUCCGCAUUCAAAGUGGCAAAAGACAAAAGUUUGGAAGAAAUAGAGUGAAAUCAUAGAUACCAAAUAUGAUCGCCUGUGCUUAAUUGGGAUUGGAAAUAAUAAUAAUUUCUCGCCAAAAUUGCGUUUUUUUAACCUCUUUUUUGAUCACAGAUCGUCAUAGUGAUCUUUUUAUAAACUUCAUUAAUCAAGGGGCCAGUACUUAUCAAAGUCAACACUAUCCUCUAGUGGUGGGAGCGCAUCGCACCAGGCGGCCAAAGGUGCGCACUCCAUCCCAUAAUAAACACGAACAGCUCUCACUCGGGCGGGGAGCGGUUAAUCCCAGUGGUUCCAGUUUGAGAUGAGCAGAACAGAGCAGAACUUUUAAAUAUCCAAACAGUUCCAACCAGUAAGGAAUGUAUUCCAGGCAUUUGAUGAAUGUGUGUGUGUGUCAUAACGUGACCUUUGACAAAACACAAAUAGAAAGAUUCCUGCUCUACUCCUGGAAAUAAAUCUGCGAGUUUGAUGUGAUCAGAAUGUGAGUAACUCAUCCGUGACAAUCUGCAGCAGUGUUUCUAAUUAUUCCUUUAUGGAGCACCACAUGAGAUGACAACUAACGAAACGGUUUAUGAAUGAUCUUGUUUGAACUGAAAGUGUAAAAAUGUGUUCUACUGGUCCAACUUUUUUAACAACAUCACGGCAAAGCACUGCAUGAAAACGGACGCAUGAACUGGAGAUCUUUGUUCAUUUCAACAGAACAGCCCUUUUCCCCCUUUUAUCCCCCCAGUCCGUUUCAUAGCCACCACGUUCCCUUUAAGUUGUAUAAAGAGAUAAAUGACACUUAAAAGUGUGUGUGUGUGUGUGUGUGUGUGUGUGUGUUGCAUAAACACAAUCAUUUUAUUAUCGCUGAAGACCUUGAAAACAACAGCAACAUCCAAAAUACAGGAAUUUUAAAAAGCGCGUUUGGCACUCACAGCCAUGCGCACCAGGAACAGGGAUGGUGUUUUUCUUGUUAAUCUUGGAGUUUUUGAUGGACAUUAAUUGUUGUUGAUUGAUUAUAGAGACUCAGAAGGAGUCAUUAAGGGAAGACAGGAGGAGGAAGAGGAAGAGGAAGAGGCGUAGGAGCCGGUGAGAUGCUGCUCCGUGCUCCUGGAACAGAUGGUGGAAGCGUGCGCCGUGCUCCAUUAAUCUGCCAUGCAGGGAAGGAGCUUUUCAGAGCGCACGGGAGAAAGGAUUACACACACACACACACACACACACACACGCACACACGCACACACGCACACACGCACACGCCUCCCGUGGUUAAAUGCUUCUGCAGAAAAGCGUCUCCGCGCGUAAAAACCCACCAAACCCAAAACUGCAUUAGCUUCCACUGAUUGCAGAUGAUAACUGAAGAAGAUUCGAACAGUCCUCUCCCCGCAGCACCGAGAAAACGCGGUGCGGUGAAGGCUGGGUGUGUCAGCAGAGUGCGUUAAAGGUGCGCGAGGAGAGGUUGGUUCUAAAUGAGCUCAGAAGCUCAGUAUGUGACCGUAAUGAGCUGCUAAUUUACUGUUGUCCUACUAUCACAGCUGCACGUGGAAUCCAGGCCUUUAUUAUUAUUAUUUGUCCUGAUAGAUGAGGAGACAUGCAAAAAGCAACCAAAUAUACACAAUUUCCAACCAUUUUUUAUCUAUCAUUGUUUUUAUUUCUUUUUGCUCAUUUUGGAAUCUUUGUAAACCAUACAGGUAUUUUGUCAUGCAGCUUUUGUUGUGUGUCUUUCUACAUUUCAUGGUAUCUUUUUUUUCCACAAUCUGGGUGUUUUCAUUUAAAAUCACACACUGAAAAAACUGACUUUUUGCUGUAGUAAAAUAUAUUUAAUUAAUUAGUUAAUUUUUACACUGUAAUAUUUUGAUUCAGAGACAACAUAAAUUUCUUCAGUAAAACCUUAUAUUUAAUUCAUGUAUUUAAUGAACUGUGAAGGAAGAGUAAGUUGUAUUGUGGAAUUCUUCAUAGUAUUUACAUGUUUUAUGCUCACUCUGCAUAAACUUAGAAAUAGUUAGUAACUUUUAAUUAGAAAGUGUAGUUUCUGUUUGAAUCCACACAUGCGCAGUUUGACAGAAGAGCCCGCGAUGAUUAACGGUUCAAGCUCCACCGGGUACAGGUCGGUCUGUCACAUGUGCUGCUCAGCUGCGAAGUGUGAGCUCCGGUGAAACGUAAGUUAUUGCCUCUUUGCUUAAAGUUUGUGAUGACAUGUUGAUCCGUGAGAUAGUUUCUUGCGUGCAUUGAUUUUAGUUUUAAUCUUGUUGGCUAAUGUGACCAAAUUUAACACAAUGGCAUCCACACCUAGUGCUAUCUGUGAAGGAGAGCUACGCUAAGGUUAGCUGUUUCACUUUAGUGAAGCUAAAUUGUGAGUUAUGCUUGGUAAAUCAGUAGAGUAAACGAAGUGAGUAAUAUUUCAGUGUAUGUAAUGUGCUACUAAUGCAGGACAGCUCUGCUAAUGUUAGCUGUUUCACUCCAUUUAGUGACGUUUGCUUUUAACUUGAGCUUGGUUAAUUAAUGGAGCUAAUAUGAAACAGAGCUAAAUGCAGUGGAACAGUAACUCAGAUGAUUCUCUUGUUGAAGGCUUGAGGUUGUGAUGGACAGUCCAGCUGCUACUGACUUCAGAGAGAGAUGGCCUACUUUGUUUUGUGAAGCUGAGAUCAAGGAGGAAUUCAGGAGAAUCACUACAAUUUCCUUGGAGCAGACCUUCAUGUACAAACUCGACCACUACACACCGAAACUUACUACUCUGAUGAAGACCAAGGGAGGUGCUGUGGGAACCAAACUGAGGCCAUUCCUGGACAAAUUAAAUCAGGUGGAUAGCCGCAGUGAUGCCACUCAGCACAUCCUCAAAAUCCUGGUCGUCCAUGGAGCUGAUGGAGAGGAUCCUGUAGAUGUGUCCAUCGUUCUUGAAGGCAAGGAGAUGUUACCAGGAUGCGGGACUAUUUCUAAAGCUUGUGCACUGCUUAUUGGUCUGAUUUAUGCCUCAGUCUUGCAUAUCCGCCAGCACUGCGCUAUACUUUUGAGGUGUUUCUGAAACUUUUCCGGGAGCUGGAUGGGAUCAAGUUGGCCCCAAAAGUAUAAGCUUUAAAGUUGAAGUUGCUGUCUUAGAUGCUGUCAUCACAGCAAGCAUGUCACCUCCUUUGGACCUUCUGUUUAUAUUCAGCAGUACAGCAGCUUGUCUGUAUAUGGACCUUCACUGCUGAGAUAUUGACUUGGAACAAAAAAAAAAAAAAAAGGAAACUUUGUAAGUAUUUGUGAAACUGUAAAAUGGUGAGUGAUGUUCUGCUUAUGCCGUUAAGAAUUGGCGCCUCACCUCGGAGUUCAACUGUGCCCUGGAUGACUAACUGUGGGAAGUUGUGUGAUUAGAAAUGUUUCCCAUUUUGUGUAGACUAAGGCACCUGGUCUUUUCCUGUCAUUCAUGUUCACACAUUUAUGCUGAAGGUAAAGUUAACAAUGUAUUUGUUAGCUGCCUUUUAAGCUGUUGAUGUUUUAAUACCUAAAUGUUUUAAUUUGCAUUCUCCGAAGUCUACUAAUAAAGUGUGCUGGCUGAAAUGUUGCAAUGUUUUAAUGUUUGAAUAGCACAACUGCAAAUUCGUGAUUACAGAAAGAAUUGGAGGAAGAAUUGCUGUUUAGUGUUCAUAAACUGUAUUUGAACUGUUUUUUUUUAUUUGUGAUAUAUUAAAUGCAGAGAAAUUCAAAUUUGAUGUUUAUCAAAAGAAAAUUAACAUUUACAUAAUUGUAGUGAGUAAAUCAACUUAAUACAAAUGAGUAAUGAAUUGUUCAACAAAUAAAAAUUACUUAAUUAUUUCAUAACAUUAAAUCCAGAUGCAUUGUGUUAAUAUUAUGUUGCUGACUGAAAAAAAAUUAAUUCACUUUACUUGAUUAUUUAAAAUAAAUUUUACUUCUAACUUUAUGAUAAUGAAGUAACAUUUACUUGAUGUUUUCAUAACUGUUACUUGUAAUGGUAUGUAUAUAUUACUUGUUUCUGGGAGGUAAGCUAUACUUGAUUUUGAAGCAGUAAAAUUUACUUAAAAAGUGUUAGUGCAAAUUGUUACGAGGAUUUUUUUAAGUAAAUCUUCAAAGUUAUUUUUUUCAGUGCAUUUGUGUGACAGCCCAUAUCUCUUUUUUUAAUCAUGACAUGCUGCCUUUUUGUAGUCAACAUGUGGAGCUGUAUGUUUUCUAUUUGCCACUGUGUCUUUCUUAGAUAAUUUUGUUCCUCAGUUUGGCCACUUUUGCUUCCUGACUGCAGCUAUUUUAUGUAUUCACACUUUUUAUGGUCUUACUUCAUCACAUUCUGAGUCUUUUCUCUUAUUUUACAUCUUUUUGUAUGAGAUCAAGUGCAGUUUUAGACCCUUUUUUUGGUCAUUUUGUAUGUCUCAGUUAACAUUUGGUCCUUUUGUGGUCAAUUUGUUUAACAUUUGUUUAAACAUUAAAGAAAUGUCAUGUUUCAUUUGCUUGUUUUACAUCU